rnacentral:rRNA from 1 species
UACGGAGGGUGCGAGCGUUGUCCGGAAUCACUGGGCGUAAAGGGCGCGUAGGUGGCGCGGGCAGUCAACGGUGAAAGUUCGGGGCUCAACCCUGAAUCGGCCGUCGAUACUCCCGGGCUUGAGCACUGUAGAGGCAGAUGGAAUUCCGGGUGUAGCGGUGGAAUGCGUAGAGAUCCGGAGGAACACCGACGGCGCAGGCAGCGUCCUGGCCGCCUGCUGACACUGAGGCACGAAAGCUGGGGGAGCAAACAGG